GGUAAAGAUGGGGCGGCGCGGCCGGGGCUCGCCAGCACCAGCCCUGGAACCCCAUGGGGGACCUCGACAACAGCGCCUUUGCGGCGUGGGCCCCUUUCUGCAGCUCCUCCACCCGCGCGCUGUCGGCUCCGGGACACUGGGGCUUUGAAGGGCGCCAGUUCCCAGCCGCACCUGCACGCCUAGGAGGGCGCAGGCCGCGUGUCCCUGUGGGAGGAAGGCCCCGGCAACCUGCAAAGACCUCACGUCACAGAAACUUGCGGCGUUUGCCCCCGAUGCGCGCGUCAGGUGCUCCGUCCCUUCCAGGUGGCAGAGGAGAGGGAAGGGUCGCGCCUGGUGGGGGCCUGAGAGCCACCGGGCUGCGGUGCGCGAGUGUGGACACCGCCCCGCCUUCUGCGUCUACAGCCCUGGGUUCUGGGACCUUUGGAAACCGCUUUGGACGAAGCUGAGCAUCUCUUUCCCCACGCUGACCUCCCCCAUAGACUCCGGAUGGGAGUAAAUGAGGCUCCUGGGAAAUCCAGAAACUCUAGAGAAGCUUGUUUGCCAAACCUUGCUUUGGGCGGUGGAGACAGAAUAUCAUGUCCCAGAUCAGCGUGUGGUGACUGUGGAGGCAUUUACACACAGCACACUCCAGCUCUGCCACUGGGCCGGCUGAGGUGGCUGCGGUACACGGCGCCCAUCCUGAGCCCCAGGUUCCUCACAUGUCAACAGCAUGAAAAGUGCCUCUAAGACAUCCACAGGUGUGCAGUGUUAAAGCAGCCCCAUCAUCCUGAGAUAAUGAAGCCGUUCAUUCUUGGGCACAAAAGUUCGAAUGGAGGCCUUUCCCCGCCAUCCGCAUAAGACGAUGGGACACUGCAGAGCGUCUGGAUUCCUACAAGUGAAAGUGGCUUCAUGUAGAACAUUAAACAUUCCCAUAACUAAAUCGAA
rnacentral:lncRNA from 1 species